CCCUUUGUGGUGCAAAUGAUUGACAUGCUUGGCUGCUAACCCAAAAGUUGGUGGUUCUAGUCCACCCAGAGGUG
rnacentral:tRNA from 1 species